CAGCUUGUGAAAGCACAUCACGUCACACACGCUGGAUUUGUGUGUCCCUGGAUCAAUGAGUAAUACAAGUCUCUGGGGUUUUGAGAAGGGAUUGCCUCAUAGCGUGUAUGUUCUGCCUCCUUCUUCAGCCACGCCUGUGAGAACACAGAAGACAACAUCCUGUUGUCCAAGCUGAGUGUGUGCAGAUGUUUGACUUUAGCAGUUAUUUCAAGAGGGAGGACUCUCCAUGUGCUAAUAAAACA